rnacentral:rRNA from 1 species
AAUUCGAAGCAACGCGAAGAACCUUACCAGGUCUUGACAUCCCGAUGCUAUUUCUAGAGAUAGAAAGUUACUUCGGUACAUCGGUGACAGGUGGUGCAUGGUUGUCGUCAGCUCGUGUCGUGAGAUGUUGGGUUAAGUCCCGCAACGAGCGCAACCCCUAUUGUUAGUUGCCAUCAUUCAGUUGGGCACUCUAGCGAGACUGCCGGUAAUAAACCGGAGGAAGGUGGGGAUGACGUCAAAUCAUCAUGCCCCUUAUGACCUGGGCUACACACGUGCUACAAUGGUUGGUACAACGAGUUGCGAGUCGGUGACGGCGAGCUAAUCUCUUAAAGCCAAUCUCAGUUCGGAUUGUAGGCUGCAACUCGCCUACACGAAGUCGGAAUCGCUAGUAAUCGCGGAUCAGCACGCCGCGGUCGAAUACGUUCCCGGGCCUU